rnacentral:rRNA from 1 species
GGUAUUUUGACCGUGCAAAGGUAGCAUAAUCAUUAGUUUUUUAAUUGAAAGCUGGAAUGAAAGGUUGGAUGAAAAAUAAGCUGUCUCUAUUUAAUUUUAUUAUAAUUUUAUUUUUAAGUUAAAAAGCUUAAAUUUUGAUAGAAGACGAGAAGACCCUAUAGAGUUUUAUUUAUUUUUUUAAUAAGAUUAUUAGUAUUAAUUAUUUUUAUUGGUGGAAUAAAUUUAGUUGGGGUGAUUGAAAAAUUUAAUAAACUUUUUUUAUAUAUAUACAUUUAUAUAUGAUUAAUUGAUCCUUAAUUUAAGAUUAAAAGAUAAAAUUACCUUAGGGAUAACAGCGUAAUUUUUUUUAAGAGUUCAAAUCGAAAAAAAAGAUUGCGACCUCGAUGUUGGAUUAAAAUAAAAUUUUGGUGUAGAAGCUAAAA